AAGACAGAGGGUGCAAACGUUGUUCGGAUUUACUGGGCGUAAAGCGCGUGUAGGCGGCUUUGCAAGUCGGAUGUGAAAGCCCACGGCUCAACCGUGGAAGUGCAUCCGAAACUGCAUGGCUGGAGUCUCGGAGAGGAAGGUGGAAUGCUUGGUGUAGAGGUGAAAUUCGUAGAUAUCAAGCAGAACACCUGCGGCGAAGGCGGCCUUCUGGACGAUGACUGACGCUGAGACGCGAAAGCGUGGGGAGCAAACAGGA
rnacentral:rRNA from 1 species